rnacentral:siRNA from 1 species
GAAUAGGUCCUCUCUCCACCUA